UACGAAGGGGGCGAGCGUUGUUCGGAUUUACUGGGCGUAAAGGGCGCGUAGGCGGCCAUCUUUGUCAGGCGUGAAAGCCCCGGGCUCAACCUGGGAAUGGCGUCUGGGACGGGGGUGGCUAGAGAUCGGGAGAGGAGCGUGGAAUUCCCAGUGUAGAGGUGAAAAUUCGUAGAUAUUGGGAAGAACACCGGUGGCGAAGGCGGCGCUCUGGACCGAGACUGACGCUGAGGCGCGAAAAGCGUGGGGGAGCAAACAGG
rnacentral:rRNA from 1 species